rnacentral:rRNA from 1 species
AUCUACAGCCAGACCACCCUGAACGCACCUGAUCUCAGAAGCUAAGUCAGGGUCGGGCCUGGUUAUUACUUGGAUGGGAGAAAAUUGAAGGAGUUUUCCUGCAAAGAGGAGCAAAAAAACAGUGUGGUAACUA